CGCCUUGCCAGCCCGCUCAGAAACUUAAAGGAAUUGACGGGGGCCCGCACAAGCGGUGGAGUAUGUGGUUUAAUUCGAUGCAACGCGAAGAACCUUACCUGGUCUUGACAUCCCGGAGACCCUUAGGAAACUAGGGGGUGCUUCCAUCUGGAAGAAUCUGGAGACAGGUGCUGCAUGGCUGUCGUCAGCUCGUGUCGUGAGAUGUUGGGUUAAGUCCCGCAACGAGCGCAACCCUUGCCUUUAGUUGCCAGCAGUUCGGCUGGGCACUCUAAAGGGACUGCCGGUGUUAAACCGGAGGAAGGUGGGGAUGACGUCAAGUCCUCAUGGCCUUUAUGACCAGGGCUACACACGUACUACAAUGGCCGAUACAAAGGGCAGCGACACUGCGAGGUGAAGCCAAUCCCGUAAAAUCGGUCUCAGUCCGGAUUGGAGUCUGCAACUCGACUCCAUGAAGUUGGAAUCGCUAGUAAUCGCGCAUCAGCAUGGCGCGGUGAAUACGUUCCCGGGCCUU
rnacentral:rRNA from 1 species